UGGGGGAUAUUGCACAAUGGGCGAAAGCCUGAUGCAGCGACGCCGCGUGGGGGAUGAAGGCCUUCGCGUUGUAAACUUCUUUUGCUCUGAACAAGGCAUGCUAAUGGGUGUGUUGAGUGUCGGGGUUGAUUAGCGCCGGCUAACUACGUGCCAGCAGCCGCGGUAAUACGUAGGGCGCGAGCGUUGUCCGGAAUUAUUGGGCGUAAAGGGCUUGUAGGUGGCUGGUUGCGUCUGUCGUGAAAGCUCAUGGCUUAACUGUGGGUUUGCGGUGGGUACGGGCUGGCUUGAGUGCAGUAGGGGAGGCUGGAAUUCCUGGUGUAGCGGUGGAAUGCGCAGAUAUCAGGAGGAAUACCGGUGGCGAAGGCGGGUAUCUGGGCUGUUACUGACACUGAGGAGCGAAAGCAUGGGGAGCGAACAGG
rnacentral:rRNA from 1 species